UUGUUACAGGAUCUGAGCUCAACGAUCACAGACCAGGUCCAUAUCUAGAGAUCCUUCUUCUAACAGAGUGGCUGGCGUGGCUUUGGGUUUUGCAUCCAAACUUAAAAACGGAGCAGUUGAAAUUGUACGUAAACAACUGAAAAUUGGGAUCAUUGUGUAAAAUGUCAAAUGAAAACUUGGUUAAAGCACGAAUUAUGAUAUUUCUUCAAGUUUUCCAGAAACAUUGCUCUUACUAACCGCAUCUCCUCAAAUUCUGCUGAAAAGCAUCACAUUAUAUCGGGUCAAAAAUAUGUUGAAGUCUCAUUAACCCCAAGACGUUUUAAGACACUCCAGAAUGCACACAUACGUAUACAAAAGAAGAUUACAAAAUCGUUUCCCAUAAUUAAUUAGCCUAACCAUUUGGGGUUAAAACGAAGCAGGUGUGGAAUCUGUAGGACGUAUGAUCAUGGAAUUAUAGCCAUCGAAUUUUUCCCUCCUCGAGAGCUUAACUUCUUCAAUUUCUUUGCGUACCGGGGUGCGUAUCUGAUUGGAAAAUUUCUUUCACUCCGAAUCGCUUCCGAUAGUAUUUCAGCAUGUAUUUGAUAUUUGGAAUACCCAGUUUUAAUGUAACGUAUAUGUACAUAAGAAUAAAUAAAAAAUUUAACUUA
rnacentral:lncRNA from 1 species